CCAUAUACCUGAGCUCCAUCUUCUGAAGAUAGGCUUCAGUGUUUAGUUGGCUAAGUGACUUGAGCCUAUCACAUUCUAUAUUGAGUUUACUCUCCUUACCUCCGUAUAUUUCUACUUGAGGUAAUCGUGUAUAUCCCUGCUCUAUGUACAUAGACUUCUGAUGAGACCUUGGCUUUUUAGCAAAGGCUAUGAAUCAUUAUCUUUGCAGUACAAUAUCAU
rnacentral:lncRNA from 1 species